UACGGGGGGGGCAAGCGUUGUUCGGAAUUACUGGGCGUAAAGGGCUCGUAGGCGGCCAACUAAGUCAGACGUGAAAUCCCUCGGCUUAACCGGGGAACUGCGUCUGAUACUGGAUGGCUGGAGUUUGGGAGAGGGAUGCGGAAUUCCAGGUGUAGCGGUGAAAUGCGUAGAUAUCUGGAGGAACACCGGUGGCGAAGGCGGCAUCCUGGACCGAGAUCGACGCUGAGGCGCGAAAGCUAGGGGAGCAAACGGG
rnacentral:rRNA from 1 species